UCUCCGCGCAGGUUUCCCCGGGGGACGUUCCUGGGGGCGCAGCAGGGUCAAGCCCAGAGACCCCGGAGCUGAGGCUCUCCCGCCCCGCGCUGGCCCCGGCGUCUCUCCGCCAAUCAGGGAGCGGGGCGUUCUGACGCGCACCCCAUCCGCCAAUAGAAGGCCGCGCGUGAGAGAGAGCCCGGCGCUUCUCAGCGUGCCCGGGGAGGGCUGGCGCGGGAGAACAGGGAUAUGGGGCACUUCCGCUUCCUGCGGCUGGGCGCGCUUGUUGCCUUGGCAGCCUGUCACGUCACUUCCGCUGUGAGGAGAGUCGAACUACGCUGGGCGGGGCGCCUCUCGCUCGAGCCCAGGCUGCAGCGCAACAUCCAUGUUUUGCUCCAAAUCAUUCCGUCCUUCCAGGGACCAGAAAAGGGAAAUGUCUGCAGUGGAGCCAGUUGAGGGGCUGAUGACCUUCGAGGAGGUGGCUGUGUAUUUCACCAGGGAAGAGUGG